AGUCGAACGAAGAUGCCGGAGUGCUUGCACUUUGGCAGACUGAGUGGCGGACGGGUGAGUAACGCGCGGGUAACCUGCCUUAUACAGGGGGAUAACAGUUGGAAACGACUGCUAAUACCGCAUAAGCGCACGGUAUCGCAUGAUACAGUGUGAAAAACUCCGGUGGUAUAAGAUGGACCCGCGUCUGAUUAGCUUGUUGGUGAGGUAACGGCCCACCAAGGCGACGAUCAGUAGCCGGCCUGAGAGGGUGAACGGCCACAUUGGGACUGAGACACGGCCCAAACUCCUACGGGAGGCAGCAGUGGGGAAUAUUGCACAAUGGGGGAAACCCUGAUGCAGCGACGCCGCGUGAGUGAUGAAGUAUUUCGGUAUGUAAAACUCUAUCAGCAGGGAAGAUAAUGACGGUACCUGACUAAGAAGCACCGGCUAAAUACGUGCCAGCAGCCGCGGUAAUACGUAUGGUGCAAGCGUUAUCCGGAUUUACUGGGUGUAAAGGGUGCGUAGGUGGUAUGGCAAGUCAGAAGUGAAAGGCUGGGGCUCAACCCCGGGACUGCUUUUGAAACUGUCAAACUAGGGUACAGGAGAGGAAAGCGGAAUUCCUAGUGUAGCGGUGAAAUGCGUAGAUAUUAGGAGGAACACCAGUGGCGAAGGCGGCUUUCUGGACUGAAACUGACACUGAGGCACGAAAGCGUGGGGAGCAAA
rnacentral:rRNA from 1 species